rnacentral:rRNA from 1 species
GACGACGCUGGCGGCGUGCCUAACACAUGCAAGUCGAGCGGGGUUGAAGCGAGGGGUAACUCGAGUUUCUACCUAGCGGCGGACGGGUGAGUAACGCGUGGGCAACCUGCCUCAAGGACUGGGAUAACAGCUCGAAAGGGCUGCUAAUACCGGAUAUGCCUGUGGCCUCGCAUGGGGCUAUGAGCAAAGGGGAAACCCGCCCUGAGAUGGGCCCGCGUCCCAUCAGCUAGUUGGUGAGGUGAAGGCUCACCAAGGCGACGACGGGUAGCCGGCCUGAGAGGGUGACCGGCCACACUGGGACUGAGACACGGCCCAGACUCCUACGGGGGGCAGCAGUGGGGAAUCUUGCACAAUGGGCGAAAGCCUGAUGCAGCGACGCCGCGUGAGCGAAGAAGGCCUUCGGGUUGUAAAGCUCUGUCUGGAGGGACGAAGGAAGUGACGGUACCUCCGGAGGAAGCCACGGCUAACCUACGUG